UACGUAGGGUGCGAGCGUUAAUCGGAAUUACUGGGCGUAAAGCGUGCGCAGGCGGUUUUGUAAGCCAGAUGUGAAAGCCCCGGGCUUAACCUGGGAAUGGCAUUUGGGACUGCAAGGCUUGAGUGCGGCAGAGGAGACUGGAAUUCCUGGUGUAGCAGUGAAAUGCGUAGAUAUCAGGAGGAACACCGGUGGCGAAGGCGGGUCUCUGGGCCGAUACUGACGCUGAGGAGCGAAAGCGUGGGGAGCGAACAGG
rnacentral:rRNA from 1 species